rnacentral:lncRNA from 1 species
UCCGAGAAACAACCAUGGCUUCACCCUGAUUGCAGAGUUCUCUGAAUGCCAGAAGUUCAGUAGGAACCUGCCAAAGUUCUGAGCGAGGGAGAGAUGCAAUCAGUGUUGGGCUUACACCUUAUCCUGCCCUUCUCUUUUCAGAGGGUUGCUUUUACCCAAAGUAGUGGAAGAUCGUGAUGUGCAAAGAACAGACGUCGGAAACCUUGGAAGUGGGAUUUAUUUCAGUGAUUUGCUCAGUACAAGUAUCAAGUACUCACACCCGGGAGAGAUAGAUGGCACCAGACUCCUGCUCAUUUGUGACGUAGCCCUCGGAAAGUGUAUGGACUUACACGAGAAGAACUUUUCCUUGACUGAAGCACCACCAGGCUACGACAGUGUGCAUGGAGUUUCACAAACA